UUUGGUGCAGAUCUGUCAAUCAGCAAAAAGCAACAGCAGCUCUUUCAUUUCCGCCAGGCGUUUGUUUCGGCACGGUCGUGCGGGCCAUAACCUAGUUCCUCCAUCACGGCAAGACUUCUUUGAAAAUUGCAACAAAUAGUGCUAAAAUACAGAAUGUUUGUCUUCACAAGCACGCAGUACCGAUGGUGUGAAGCAAUGGCAAGGGCGCUUCACCAGUGGCGGAUAGAGCUCUUGAUCCCUAGGAGGAAUGAAAGUUGAUGGCUAAUGGACCACAUUGGACAUGCCAACCUUUGCCUUAAGGAGAAUCGAGACCUCUGUCGGUAAACCAACGUAUGACCGGGAAGGAAGCUUAUGAUGUCACAUGUCCUUUCAACUUUCGGGCUCCCAUAUCGAACACCCUCCUAAAAGAGGUUGGUUGUUCAGGAAUAAUCUCUGAUGGUUCCGUGGAUUUUUAACAUCAUGAAAAAAUCCAUCCAUAAUCGGGUCGCUAAUCGAAGAGAGGGAUUUGUAAUGCGGACCUCUGCCGGCAAGUGAUUCUACAAUCCAUACACCAAUCAUUCCGAUUACUGCCUGAAACACUGCUAUCAACAAUCCAAUCAUCAAUGUGAUGGAAACGCAAACAAGCGUUGUAAAAAUGAUCUAAGCAGAAGCUUGUGUCCCAAACUCCCUAAAAAGACUCGUAUAAUGUGUCCGCUUGGCUUCUCACUCUAACCCAGUCAGCAGAUUCGAAGUGUUAGAGGCCUCCAACUUUCAUUCUGCCUACACAGGGCCUCCAAGCGGGGGCUAUGUGCACAUAUUGUCCACUGGAGGCCAUCCAUCUCCACAAGCGCUGACGACAAUUUUGAAGGCACAUAUCGUUCAUAGGAAGGCGUCUAGCCUCACAGCACUCGAUGACGAGUUUUAAAGGCGUCUUGGAAGGUGGCAAGCUUCACAAAACAAACAGUGAAUCUGGAAGUUAAUGUGUGGAAGGACUAGACGCUUCAUGAGAGAACGAUCGUUUUUUCCGAUCUUGGACUGACCCGGCCCUUGCUGAGGAUUGAACAGACCUCAGAAUGUAAUCACACCAAGGAUUAUACUCGGACUCGGAGUGAAAACUUUUUAAACAACGAUCAAGAAGAAGUGACCUCUAAACAAUGGGUUCAUUUAAUACUUAAUGUGUAAAAUCUUUUGUAUGGAAAUUUGUUAAUAAAAUGGCCUAUGAUUUGGGCGUUGUACACGUGA